UAGGGAAUCUUCCGCAAUGGGCGAAAGCCUGACGGAGCAACGCCGCGUGAGUGAUGAAGGUCUUCGGAUCGUAAAACUCUGUUAUUAGGGAAGAACAAAUGUGUAAGUAACUAUGCACGUCUUGACGGUACCUAAUCAGAAAGCCACGGCUAACUACGUGCCAGCAGCCGCGGUAAUACGUAGGUGGCAAGCGUUAUCCGGAAUUAUUGGGCGUAAAGCGCGCGUAGGCGGUUUUUUAAGUCUGAUGUGAAAGCCCACGGCUCAAACGUGGAGGGUCAUUGGAAACUGGAAAACUUGAGUGCAGAAGAGGAAAGUGGAAUUCCAUGUGUGGCGGUGAAAUGCGCAGAGAUAUGGAGGAACACCAGUGGCGAAGGCGACUUUCUGGUCUGUAACUGACGCUGAUGUGCGAAAGCGUGGGGAUCAAACAGG
rnacentral:rRNA from 1 species